UACGAAGGUGGCGAGCGUUGUUCGGAUUCACUGGGCAUAAAGGGCGCGUAGGCGGUGCUGCAAGCGGCGUGUGAAAAUUCCGGGGCUCAACCCCCGGAACUGCGCGCCGGACUGCAGUGCUCGAGUGCGGGAGGGGGGGUGCGGAACUCUAGGUGGAGCGGUGAAAUGCGUAGAUAUCUAGAGGAACACCGGUGGCGAAAAGCGACACCCCUGGCCCCGCAACUGACGCUGAGGCGCGAAAGCGUGGGUAGCAAACAGG
rnacentral:rRNA from 1 species